rnacentral:rRNA from 1 species
UACGUAGGGUGCGAGCGUUAAUCGGAAUUACUGGGCGUAAAGCGUGCGCAGGCGGUGAUGUAAGACAGGUGUGAAAUCCCGGGCUCAACCUGGGAACUGCAUUCAAACUGACGAGCUAGAGUAUGGUAGAGGUGGUGGAAUUCCUGUGUAGCGGUCGAAAUGCGUAGAUAUAGGAAGGAACACCGUGGCGAAGGCGACCACCUGGACUGAUACAUGACACUGAGGUGCGAAAGCGUGGGGAGCAAACAG